ACAAUGAAGAGUUUGAUCCUGGCUCAGGAUGAACGCUAGCUACAGGCUUAACACAUGCAAGUCGAGGGGUACAGGAUCUAGCAAUAGAUUGCUGACGACCGGCGCACGGGUGAGUAACACGUAUCCAACCUUCCGUUUACUCGGGGAUAGCCUUUCGAAAGAAAGA
rnacentral:rRNA from 1 species